AUGUGUGUGUAACAGGAGCACCCCAGGAUCCUGCACUGCUGUAAUCUUUCUCCUCCCACUGGAUCUCACCUUUUAUUUGGUGUUGCACCUCCCUGAAUGGUAUUUAACCUUGCUCCUGGUGCUCUUUGUUGGAGUUCUGCCAUGCAUAUAAUAUUACUCUGAUGGGUGUAGGACUGGUGUCUACAGACACCUGGGGGCAAGCCCAGGUGUUUCACUGGUCAAGGGGGAAAAUAUGUUUUGUUGCAGCAUGCCUCGAAGUCAUGUUGCGUGCAAGAUCUUGUUUUGGGAUCCUACCUGCUCCUGAUCGCUUCAACUACCAGAGUGCUGGCAUAAGCAGUGAAGAAAGGGGAAUAUUUGAAGCAAAUAGCCUAAACCUAAUCCAUGGACAAAAUCUUCUUACUACUUUGAGUUGUGACUAAUAGAAAUGGGCAGCAAAUGCUGAUGUAGUCUUUGUCAACAAAAUUUUGGUGGACAACUGAUGGUGAGAAUAAACAGUCUUGUAGACAUGCAGAGGAGAUGGAAAUGACACACGAAUUUUAAUUAACCUGCUUCUCCUCGGCUUUGCUGCAUAGUGACAAAAUAUAGCUAUGUGUAUCCUUUGGUUACAUACCCUGGCAUCUUCCUAAGCUGCUGGCUUUAGUUGAAAGCAGUGGUUUCACAUGUGUACCUAAGAUCUGUGUGUUUCUUGUGGGUUGAUUACCAGAAAGGUGUCUGAGCCCUUGGUGCUUUUGCUCCAUCUGCAUAUGCCCUGAUAUUUUGAAGAGUUCCCCAUUUUAAAACACAACCAUAAGAUCAAGGCAUCUCUAAAUGAUGUCAUUUAUUGUGAUAGUGUUGAUCAUUGCUCUGAUUACAGUCUCAAGCAAUGCUUAGUCUUCCCUUGAUGCUUUGUAUACGCUGAUAUAAAACGGUAUGGCAGAAAAUAUGAUGUCAUCUGCAGCUGCCACAUGGUAUUUCAAAGGAGAAGGCAUUAGCCCUUUCUAGAAAAAUUUAUCCUGUGAAGAGCAGAUGUCUUGGUUGAACAGCUUACUCAGCCUAAUUAUUCACGUCUGUACCUGCUUGCCAGCCCCACUUCUCACUGAGGUAAACUGGCACUGCUCCAUGGAAGUUGGAGAAGCAGUAAUUCUCACUGCUGGCAGCAGAUAAUUUUGACCCUUUUUCUUGGUCUGUGCUUUAUUUUAUCAACUUCAUGUCCUCAUCUGGUCCCAUAAAAGUAUUGAGCCACAGCAAUAGGGUUUCUAUAAAUACAUUUCUUUCAUACGGAGAUUGACAGCAUUCAAGUUGCAAAGUGUUUCAGAGCCAUGUGGGAGGAGGGAGGAACAAGGUGAAGGGGGAGGCAAGGUGUCUUAUUUCCCCUCUCACCUCCUUCAUCUCAAGCCCUGAUGUCCUCCAGGAUGUGUUUUUAGUGUUAAUGGCAGAGGUGCUCCAAAGCAGCAGUAAAUGUGGGCCCCAGAUGUGCUAAUUCAGUCUGGGCCAGGCAGGGGAAAUGCAUGUAUUAUCUCACUCACCAGGAUGUAGCUCUGACAGUUCCAGUUUAGGCUAAAUCUCUGCUCCUGUAUUUCUGCCCUCACCCCCCUCCACUGGGCCUGGCAGGGCAUCCUCCCUCUGGCUCUUUGACAUGGGCACAGCUGGCCCCUUGCAGCUCUGAGCUGGGGGAGCAUCUGUGACUCAUCUGCCCCCUGAGCACUCCAAACAGCCUUGAGCCAGGUCUGACUGCCCUGAGCUGCUGCACAGGGAGGAGGCCAGGGGAGCUGGAAUGUGAAGCAAGAAAGUGCGCUGGUGUAGGCAGCCUUUAGCAGAGAUGAGUCCUGCAUUUAACCUGCUUGGAAGGUAGUGUAAUUCAAAGCAAAAAAUUGCUACCCCUUCCCAUGUAGACAGGUGGCAUCAUGGGUGACUAGAGGUACCAAAAAUGUCACUGUUUGAAAGGUGUAGGUAUAUCUAACAUGUAUCACUGUUAUAGGAGAGGAGGAGGUUGCCCUGUCUUUUGUUCCACAAAACACAGCCCUUGUGAUCUGCAGCAUGUGCUGCUGUACUAUUGAUUUACUGUUUGAUUAUAAUGACAUUUCAUAACACAAGUGUUAUUAAAGACUUGUUAAACUUCCUUAAGGAUCAUAUUCCUCAAAAUGUUUGAGCAAAAUGCCUUGCGUUUAUCUUUAAGUAUCUAUUUAAAUAAACUCAAAUGACUUGCUGUAUCAAGGUUUUAGUUACCAGUCACUCUCCUUAGAAGCUUGUGGCUUCUUUCAGAUCCUUACGGGAUUUCUGAGGUUUUACCCAAGCCCUACUAGACUUCCAGCAUUUUUGUCACACCUUCUCUCAUAUGUCUCUCUCAAUCCCAGUGCAGAGAGGACAAAUACUUUCUGAAACGUGCCUGACUAAGAUAAGCAGAUUUUGCUGAGUUUUGUAAGGGAUGGAGGAUUAACAGCCAUCAUUGUGAAUUAGCACAGAAAAUAUUUUUCAGUAUAUGGGACAUUGAUGAAUGAGUGCUGUGUGCACCAAGCAUGUGGCAUUAAACAUCUACGUUGUGCCAGCCUCUAGAGGUGGCAAGAAUCAUAUAGUCCUGUUGUCCAGGUGAAUUUGCCAACCUCAAGAACACCCCCAGUCCGAAGCAGACAUUACAUCUUCAGCAACAUGGUCUACUGAAUUUUUUUGUGUUGCGUUAUUUUCCUGAUGUGUACUGGGAACUUGUUUUAAGUGACAAUGCAUCUUGAGAUAUGUCAUGAGAGUAUGAAAUUAUUUCUGCUGCGACCAUCUCUGAAUGCUUACUUGCAGAAGGAGGUGCAGAACUAAGGUUUUCUACCUGUAGUGCCCCAUAACAGUGAGCAACAGUGAGUCUUAACAGACUGACACAAAAUUUUUUGAUGUGACUGGAAAGUCUCCUACAACCUAGUGCUAUAAGGCACUGAGGCCUUGGCUGUGCAUUUAGUCUUUGCAGUUUAACUUAGUUCAAAACCUGAUUUUACCUCAAGUACUAACUUUGUAGGUGAUCUUCUCUGUUAAAUCUAGUCCCACGUUUAUAUUAAAUCGGCAAUAUU